UCGAGAAUUUUUCUCAAUGGGGGAAACCCUGAAGGAGCGACGCCGCGUGGAGGAUGAAGGUCUUCGGAUUGUAAACUCCUGUCAUUUGGGAACAAUUGUUCGCGAUUAACUGUCGUGAACUUGAUAGUACCAGAAGAGGAAGAGACGGCUAACUCUGUGCCAGCAGCCGCGGUAAUACAGAGGUCUCAAGCGUUGUUCGGAUUCAUUGGGCGUAAAGGGUGCGUAGGUGGCGGGGUAAGUCAGGUGUGAAAUCUCGGGGCUCAACCUCGAAACUGCACUUGAUACUGCCUUGCUAGAGUAUUGGAGAGGAGAUUGGAAUUUACGGUGUAGCAGUGAAAUGCGUAGAUAUCGUAAGGAAGACCAGUGGCGAAGGCGAAUCUCUGGACAAUUACUGACACUGAGGCACGAAGGCCAGGGGAGCAAACG
rnacentral:rRNA from 1 species